UACGAAGGGGGCGAGCGUUGUUCGGAAUUACUGGGCGUAAAGGGCGCGUAGGCGGUGUGUCAAGUCAGGCGUGAAAGCCCCGGGCUCAACCUGGGAACCGCGCUUGAGACUGGCACGCUCGAGUUCGGGAGAGGAUGGUGGAAUUCCCAGUGUAGAGGUGAAAUUCGUAGAUAUCGGGAGGAACACCGGUGGCGAAGGCGGCGACCUGGGUCGAGACUGACGCUGGAGGCGCGAAAGCCGUGGGGAGCAAACAGG
rnacentral:rRNA from 1 species